GUUUUAUCUUGCAGCAUUAUUCUGAACAUUGCUCUCAUUUGUAUAAGAUGUAAACUGACCUGUACACACUGUGCAGAUGAAAAGAACAGUGAUAUAUCAAAAGUGGAAUGGUCACGCAAGCAAUGCCAUGACGAGGACACACUGAAUUACGCUGCCCUGAACCUUAAGAAGCCAAAACCCAGGAGACAGAAG